AUUGAACGCUGGCGGAAUGCUUUACACAUGCAAGUCGAACGGCAGCACGGGUGCUUGCACCUGGUGGCGAGUGGCGAACGGGUGAGUAAUGCGUCGGAACGUACCGAGUAAUGGGGGAUAACGCACCGAAAGGUGUGCUAAUACCGCAUACGCCCUGAGGGGGAAAGUGGGGGAUCGCAAGACCUCACGUUAUUUGAGCGGCCGACGUCUGAUUAGCUAGUUGGCGGGGUAAGAGCCCACCAAGGCGACGAUCAGUAGCUGGUCUGAGAGGACGACCAGCCACACUGGGACUGAGACACGGCCCAGACACCUACGGGUGGCUG
rnacentral:rRNA from 1 species